rnacentral:lncRNA from 1 species
UUCUUCAUCAUUCAUGAAACCCAAAUUGCUUCAUCCCAUCAUCAUCCCUUCUUUUUCUUCUCAAUCUAUCCCCAAAUCGUAGUAGGAUUCCCAAUUUUCUAGGGUUCUUUCCCAAUUUUAAAUCCACCCAAAGACCAGAAGAACCAAUGCGAACUUCUUCUGUACCAGACAUGAGCAGACUCCCUUCAAGAUCAUCACGUAGAGUCCAGGACUACUACAGCUUUGACUGUUUUGCUCUUGCCCCAAAAUGGGGGCUACUUUCACGAGAUAUUUACAUGAUGUUCUGGGUACGGAUGAGGUUAGUUCUGAUAUAAAAUGUAAAUUGUAUAUCUAGUAGCUUGUUUUGUUAUUCUUCUUAUAAAGGUCAGGAUGGUGGGUAUUGGGUUUUGAGUUGAGCUUGGGUGGUCCUAAGCUAUUCUUUUUCUCUGUGAACGAGGUAUGCUCAUAUGGUUCUGUUAUUUUUAUUGGAAAACCAUAUGAACUAAAGGUAGAUAUUUAAACCAAGAGAAUAGAAAUUCGUUAUUUUCCAUUAUUAUUGGUAAAAAAAUUCGUUAUUUUUUGGGAGCUUUUUUAUGAGAUUUUCCUAUUUUUUUCUCAUUUUUUUUACUUAAUUUAAUAAACUGUAAUUUUCGUAAUAAAUGGUUUUAAAUUUUCAGAAAUUUUGUAGUUUGACGUUAAUUUGAGCUCCAUUUUCUUUUUUUCAGCAAGAUCCGUUUAAAAUUUCUGCUUGUUCUUCUGUUUUUUUUUCUUGGGCACUUCAAGUAUUUGAUUUUGUUCUUUAUUUUGCAGAUUUGGGGGAAAUCCAACCUAUUCUUCCUCAGCUACUUGAUGGUAUGUAAUUUGUAAAACUGUUUGCCAGUAAUUCUGUGCUCAUACACUCUUGUGAUGGGGAGGAGUUUUCUAAUAUGUUACCUCAAUUUUAUUUUAUUGUUUUUCAAGCUUAUGAAUGAAGUUGAAAAUGAGGAUCUUGUGUUUACUGAGUAAUGAUGGAGAUGUUGAAAAUGAGGAUCUUGUUUUUCAAGCUACGGACUAUUUUACUGGGUAAUGAUGGAGAUGUUGGACUUAAUAGUGUGUUGGGUGGAGCUGUGUUGGGAAUUGUGGCCUUGGAAUUGACUUAUGGGAAAAUUCCAGUUAACGGUCACCAAGAAUUGCUUGAUUUGGCUGCAAAAAUCAGUGAAAACAGAGGUUGCCAAACAGAUUAUGGGAGGAAAAGAAGAAACGUUGCCAAACAGAUUUUUGAAAGGAAGAAAAUGGGUAAAAGAUUUUCCAACUCUUUUGGUAAAAUGGUGGCAAAGUGUUUGGUAGGCUUUGGAAGCUAGCAAAGGUGCAAAUUGGUAUUUGCAGACUCAUGUAUCCUCCACCAAGCAGAUCGAUAGUUGUGGUAUUCCUAUUGCUAGAUGAUUUGACUUUUUGUGAGAGGUUUUGUCUUGCAGUAAAUCUGUGUAUUAGGCAUUUAUAAUCAUUGGCAUUCUUGUUGCACUCCCUGCUACGGAUGUGCUUUUACUUUGAAAAUUCUUGUUUCAGUCAUUUAUCGAUGAUUUAUAGUUAACAACAUUUUUGAUUGUCUAAGAAGAAUUGUCAGCUUAAGGUGUUUACUCUGUUUUUGGUUCACUUUGAGAGUGAUAAAUUUGAGAUGCUCAAGAACAUGAUUUUAUAAUUUA